UCAUCGUUACGCAACCUAGGACUUCCUAAAAAUGACUUAUGGGACAGGAGAUUGCUUUGAUAAGACUGAAGAUGUGAUAGCUAGCUAGAUAUCUCAUUUACAGUCCUAGGACAUGUUCAGUUGCCAGACGUUCUCCAACAUUGCAGGUAGACAAGCCAUGAAUAGAGCCGAUUUCCCCCUGGAUGGUCAGGGCCUGGAGGACACAGGAAAGCAGAGGCGGAGGGCUCUGCUGGGGCUCCUUGGUCCCGCCCAGGGUCAGCUGGAGCUCCGUCUUCAGGAACGACUUCAUCUCCGUCGGCUCUGAGAGGAUGGAUGGACACACAGAACCAGUGUCUUUGGUGGCAUGAAUGAAGUGCAAUUUACCGCCUUUAAAAUAAAGACGUACAAAGCA